AGUGAACGCUGGCGGUAGGCCUAACACAUGCAAGUCGAACGGCAGCACAGUAAGAGCUUGCUCUUACGGGUGGCGAGUGGCGGACGGGUGAGGAAUACAUCGGAAUCUACUUUUUCGUGGGGGAUAACGUAGGGAAACUUACGCUAAUACCGCAUACGACCUACGGGUGAAAGCAGGGGAUCUUCGGACCUUGCGCGAUUGAAUGAGCCGAUGUCGGAUUAGCUAGUUGGCGGGGUAAAGGCCCACCAAGGCGACGAUCCGUAGCUGGUCUUAGAGGAUGAUCAGCCACACGGGAACUGAGACACGGUCCAGACUCCUACGGGAGGCAGCAGUGGGGAAUAUUGGACAAUGGGCGCAAGCCUGAUCCAGCCAUACCGCGUGGGUGAAGAAGGCCUUCGGGUUGUAAAGCCCUUUUGUUGGGAAAGAAAAGCAGCAGGUUAAUACCCCGCUGUUCUGACGGUACCCAAAGAAUAAGCACCGGCUAACUUCGUG
rnacentral:rRNA from 1 species